GCCCUCAUAGUUCAACGGAUAGAAUGUAGGAUUCCGGAUCCUAAGAUGGAGGUUCGAUUCCUCCUGGGGGCA
rnacentral:tRNA from 1 species